GAUGAGACAAGAUUAGAUGAGAUGAGAUAACAGACUUCUUUCUCCACCGCUGUCCUCUGCUGCCCGCCUUCGCUCUGCCUGUACAGUUCCACUCCCAUUCCCCCAUCGCCACUACGCUUUGAAGAACAACACAGGACGUCUCCUCUCAGAGUGUUUCAAAUUCCUUGUUUCACAGCAGGCUGCGUCCUCUGCCCUCAACAACGGGGCUUUGUUUGUUUUCCACGAAACCCUCCCGUGACAAGUUCAGGUACAAGUUUCAUUUAUCAACUGAAGCUGGAAACAGGAAUGUCUAUAGAUCAUUCUUUCCUCUGUAUGAUUAAAGUACAACAACAUCCAUUUGUGGUAAAUCAAAUUCCUUCAGUUUGAGGUCGUGGAGUUGCCACUCUGGUGUCUGUACUGAUUCUCUGCCUCUUUCUUCACAGACAGGUUUAUUCAUGGAUCUACUAAUUUGUCCUGAAGGAAUGUCCCAAUGUGCUGCCAGUCAGAAACUGGUGAGGACGAGUCAUGAUGAAAAUGUUCGCAUGAAAGACUCACGGAAGAGAGGAGCGGCAGCAAGAAGCUAAAAUAUACCAGAAUAAGCCCCUGAAUAUGGCAGCAUUUCCCAAUUGGUCGCAGAAAUUGAGAAAUGACCCAUUUAUAUGUGUAUACAGGUCAUACAUGUACCACUGUAGCUGGUAUCCGGUUGUGAUGCUAACAGGCUGCGUCUUGCAUCACAGACUGAAGGUUUUGUGGGCUUGAAUUGCUAUUUACUUUCUAUUGAAAGGGGCGAUGAGAUGUUCACGUGCAAUGUUCUGAGACAGCGAACUGGGCUUUCCUUAGGGACGCUAAUUACAAGCUAGCAUGUGGCUGCGUCACUGUAUCUUUGUGAGGAGGGCCACCCACAAAAUAUCACCCAUCAUCAUCCAUGCUGAUUACAGUGCUGCGCGUUAUGGCCACUACACACGAGAAAAUAAAAGCCAGCCUGGCAGUGAGAGCGUGUC
rnacentral:lncRNA from 1 species